UACAGAGGUUGCAAGCGUUAUUCGGAAUUACUGGGCGUAAAGGGCGCGUAGGCGGUUGUGUAAGUCUGAUGUGAAAGCUCUGGGGUCAACUCAGGAAAUGCAUUGGAAACUACAUGGCUAGAGUGCAGGAGAGGAGAGCGGAAUUCCUGGUGUAGAGGUGAAAUUCGUAGAUAUCAGGAGGAACAUAAGAGGCGAAGGCGGCUCUCUGGACUGCUACUGACGCUGAGGCGCGAAAGCAUGGGGAGCAAACAGG
rnacentral:rRNA from 1 species